UUAUAAAGUCCCUUCUUUUCAUCCUUAUAUUACCAGACUGCCUGAAGGAGUAAUAUUGCCUGGAAAGGCUAUCAAAAAGCAUGACAUCAAGCCACCUCCAAUGCUGUGGCAUGAGAAGACUGCCAUUACCACAGGGAGAGUCACCGUAAGGCCUAUGCCUCCCAAGUCUAUAUCAGGA